GUUCUACUUCAAUACCAAGCCUCCCUCUGCCAACACAUAGGAAUCAAUAACACUUGCCUCACAAAGUAAACUUUCAGAGGAAAGGAAACGCGGGUAGCACACUGAGAGAUUAGAAAACAACCAGGAGUAACCUUGAGAGAUGUCCCUACUCAAGGGGAGAUCCUGGUGUGCAGUCGUUGCUGUGCAAGAUAGCUUAGCAGGUGCUGGA